rnacentral:lncRNA from 1 species
UCAAGUUUUAUACAUUUAAUAAUGUUUAAGCAUUUAUUUAAAUACCUUAAAUAAAAAGGCAUUAAAUAAAUACCUAAAUUUUUAUUAUUUUUCCUAGGGUUUAAGAAUUUUAAUGCAUAAAGGAAAAUAAAAUAAUCUUAAUAAAAUUGGUUUCACUAAUUUUGGGCACUUCUAGAAUUUCCUGUGAAUUAAAUGGUGUAAACCGGAUUUAAUCUAUUUAUCUAAUAAAAGAAAAACCUAAGGUUUAUUCAAAACCCUGGCUCAAACUUUUCUCACCCAGCUUACUUCUACCCACCCUCACUUCCACCUAGGGCCCACAAACUGGUCUCUUUACAGGCAAAAAGGCGCACCCGGCCUCCUACUCUCCUCCCCUUCUUCUUACUGACAAGCGGGGCCCACGGCUGGUACCUCUCCUUGGGCCGAAAAGUGGCCCGCCAGCUCUCCAUCUCCGACACGUGGGUCUCCUACGGUAGGCCCUCUUGGGCCGGCUCCCCCCUAUCUUUCCUCCUUCUUAACCACCCGCCGACCCACCUUUCUUUCUUUUCUUCCUCUGAUGCUCGGCCUACUAAUCCACCCCACGACCUUCCUUUCACCCGCCGGCCCCCUUUUCUUCUCUAUUUCCACCUGGGCUUCUUG